GCAGUGAAUUAAAGAGUUAAAGUAAUUAAGAAAACAGAGACAGAACUACUGAGUACCCCCCAAAAGCAAUUAUCUUCAAAAUAUGGAAAACCAGAUUGGGAUACAGAAAGGUUUCUUGUUAAAGAUAAAGGAGGCCUGAAGAUGGAGUCUCACUGUGUUAUCCAGGCUGGUCUCGAACUCCUGAUCUGAAGUGGUCUGCCUGCCUCGGCCUCCCAAAGUGCUGGGAUUACAGGUAUGAGGCACUGGACUGAGGUUUCUUAAAUGGUGGCAAGGAACAUAUUUUGUGUUUUAAAUGAUUUCAGUAU
rnacentral:lncRNA from 1 species